AGUCACUGACAUUAGGAUACCCCCGUAGUCCCAGCCGUAAACAAUGUGCGUUAGGUGUGUCGGUAACCACGUGUUACUGAUGCGCCGAAGAGAAAUCGUGAAACGCACCACCUGGGAAGUACGGUCGCAAGGCUGAAACUUAAAGGAAUUGGCGGGGAGCACCACAACAGGUGGAGCCUGCGGUUUAAUUGGAUUCAACGCCGGACAUCUCACCGGAUAAGACAGCUGAAUGAUUGUCAGUCUGAAGGUUUUACAUGACUAGCUG
rnacentral:rRNA from 1 species